rnacentral:rRNA from 1 species
ACGGAACUUCUUUAAAGGAUUUCUUCGGAGUGAAUUUGAUUAAGUUUAGUGGCGGACGGGUGAGUAACGCGUGAGUAACCUGCCUCUAAGAGGGGAAUAACAUUCUGAAAAGAAUGCUAAUACCGCAUAACAUAUAUUUAUCGCAUGGUAGAUAUAUCAAAGAUUUAUCGCUUAGAGAUGGACUCGCGUCCGAUUAGUUAGUUGGUGAGGUAACGGCUCACCAAGACCGCGAUCGGUAGCCGGACUGAGAGGUUGAACGGCCACAUUGGGACUGAGACACGGCCCAGACUCCUACGGGAGGCAGCAGUGGGGGAUAUUGCGCAAUGGGGGAAACCCUGACGCAGCAACGCCGCGUGAAGGAUGAAGGUCUUCGGAUUGUAAACUUCUUUUAUUAAGGACGAAGAAAGUGACGGUACUUAAUGAAUAAGCUCCGGCUAACUACGUGCCAGCAGCCGCGGUAAUACGUAGGGAGCAAGCGUUGUCCGGAUUUACUGGGUGUAAAGGGUGCGUAGGCGGCUUUGCAAGUCAGAUGUGAAAUCUAUGGGCUCAACCCAUAGCCUGCAUUUGAAACUGCAGAGCUUGAGUGAAGUAGAGGCAGGCGGAAUUCCCCGUGUAGCGGUGAAAUGCGUAGAGAUGGGGAGGAACACCAGUGGCGAAGGCGGCCUGCUGGGCUUUAACUGACGCUGAGGCACGAAAGCGUGGGUAGCAAACAGGA